rnacentral:rRNA from 1 species
AGCGAACGCUGGCGGCAGGCCUAACACAUGCAAGUCGAACGAAGUCUUCGGACUUAGUGGCGGACGGGUGAGUAACACGUGGGAACGUACCUUUUGGUUCGGAAUAACUGAGGGAAACUUCAGCUAAUACCGGAUAAGCUCUUCGGAGGAAAGAUUUAUCGCCAUUAGAGCGGCCCGCGUUGGAUUAGGUAGUUGGUGUGGUAAAGGCGCACCAAGCCUACGAUCCAUAGCUGGUCUGAGAGGCUGAUCAGCCACACUGGGACUGAGACACGGCCCAGACUCUUACGGGAGGCAGCAGUGGGGAAUCUUGCGCAAUGGUCGAAAGACUGACGCAGCCAUGCCGCGUGAAUGAUGAAGGUCUUAGGAUUGUAAAAUUCUUUUAGCAGGGACGAUAAUGACGGUACCUGCAGAAAAAGCCCCGGCUAACUUCGUGCCAGCAGCCGCGGUAA